rnacentral:rRNA from 1 species
UACGUAGGGUGCAAGCGUUGUCCGGAAUUAUUGGGCGUAAAGAGCUCGUAGGCGGUUUGUCGCGUCUGCUGUGAAAUCCCAGGGCUUAACCCUGGGCCUGCAGUGGGUACGGGCAAACUAGAGUGCGGUAGGGGAGAUCGGAAUUCCUGGUGUAGCGGUGAAAUGCGCAGAUAUCAGGAGGAACACCGGUGGCGAAGGCAGCUCGCUGGGACGGUACUGACGCUGAGGCGCGAAAGCGUGGGGAGCAAACAGG